UACGGAGGGUGCAAGCGUUAUCCGGAUUCACUGGGUUUAAAGGGUGCGUAGGUGGGCUUGUAAGUCAGUGGUGAAAUCUCCGUGCUUAACAUGGAAACUGCCAUUGAUACUAUAGGUCUUGAAUCUUCUGGAGGUCAGCGGAAUAUGUCAUGUAGCGGUGAAAUGCUUAGAUAUGACAUAGAACACCGAUUGCGAAGGCAGCUGACUACAGGGGCAUUGACACUGAGGCACGAAAGCGUGGGGAGCAAACAGG
rnacentral:rRNA from 1 species